GCCAGAUACUUAGGGUCAGAGAGCUAGGAUUUGAACAGAAAAGCUUAGAAAGCAACUGAUCACAAACUUCCCGUAGUGUUGUAGUAAAAGGUGAAGAUCAAAUUUACCACUGAUCUGGUGGAUAACUAUAAAAUCAGUCUUCAGUAUAAGUCCAAAAUGGUGAAGCAAAAAUGACAAUUGAGGGGUGCCUGAGUGGCUCAGCCCGUUAAGCAUCUGGCUCUUGAUUUCAGCUCAGGUCAUGAUCUCACAGUGGUGAGAUCGAGCCCCGCAUCAGACUCCACACUGAACAUGGACCCUGCUUGGGAUGCUCUCUCUCCCGCCCUCCCGCCCCUCCCCCACUUGUGUGCGUACUUUCUCUCUGCCUCUCAAAAUAAAUAAGUAAACAUUAAAAAAGUGACAAUCGAUAUUUAUUUAAAAUCGAUGGUUUCCCCUCUGCACCCCACCCUUUAAACUACUCUUUAUAAAUAUUUUUUGAUAUUGUUCAACAGCAAAUACACACAUUCUGAGAAUGGUAAAAGAAAAUCAGAGAAUCCUAACGAUUAAGAGUAAAACCUCAGACUGACACAAUAUGAUAUUCUGCUCUAGAAAUGGGAAUCAGGAGGUGAGAGGCUAAGCUAGUUCCAUUCUUGUUUCUGCUUUCACAGAGGUGUGAAGUCUCCCCAGAUGAAGGUUUGAUCAUUGCAGAGCUCACGUUAAUGGCUGCUGUUCUUGCAAACAGUCCUCUUUCUAUCCAAUUUCCUUCUCUUUUUUCUGGGCCAUCUACAAAGAGGGAGAAGGGAUCAUGCUGGAGAAUCUGGAAGGAAUUGGAGAAAGCCCUGGAUUCAAGUUCCAGAAAAUUAGGUGAGUGUCCAUCUGGUGGUGGCAGCAAGGAGGGAAGCAAGAUGGCCUAACCAAAGGGUUAUAUACAUUUUAUAUGCAGCUGCCUGGCUGCCUGAGGAGGGGGAGAAAAGAAGGUCUCCACAACCUGCUUCUUCGGUAUCUCCUUCUAAUUCAUUCAUUUUCUCAAUCCUUGCUACUCUAGCCUUA
rnacentral:lncRNA from 1 species